rnacentral:rRNA from 1 species
AAAAAGCUUCAAACUGGGAUUAGAUACCCCACUAUGCCAAGCCGUAAAUAAUUAACUUACACCAACCAACGCCAGGGAACUAUGAGUUUUAACUUGAAACCCAAAGGACUUGACGGUAUCCCACCCCACUAGAGGAGCCUGUCCUGUAAAUGAUGAUCCCCGAUAUACCCAACCAUUUCUUGCUUAUCAGUCUGUAUACCGCCGUCGUAAGCUUACCGUAUGAACGUACAACAGUAGGCCUAAGGACUAACCCGCCAUAACGUCAGGUCAAGGUGCAACUUAUGUAAUGGAAAGUGAUUGGCUACAAUUUCUAACUUAGAACAUACGAAAAACUUAUAUGAAACAUAGUCAUGAAGGUGGAUUUAGUAGUAAAUAAGGAAUAGAGAGCCUUAUUAAACCCGGCCCUGGGAUGUGUACACACCGCCCGUCACCCUCUGCAGUCAA